rnacentral:rRNA from 1 species
UACGUAGGGUGCGAGCGUUGUCCGGAAUUACUGGGCGUAAAGAGCUCGUAGGCGGUUUGUCGCGUCUGCUGUGAAAACCCGAGGCUCAACCUCGGGCCUGCAGUGGGUACGGGCAGACUAGAGUGCGGUAGGGGAGAUUGGAAUUCCUGGUGUAGCGGUGGAAUGCGCAGAUAUCAGGAGGAACACCGAUGGCGAAGGCAGAUCUCUGGGCCGUAACUGACGCUGAGGAGCGAAAGCAUGGGGAGCGAACAGG